rnacentral:rRNA from 1 species
GGCCUUUCGGGGUACACGAGCGGCGAACGGGUGAGUAACACGUGGGUGAUCUGCCCUGCACUUCGGGAUAAGCCUGGGAAACUGGGUCUAAUACCGGAUAUGACCUCCUAUCGCAUGGUGGGUGGUGGAAAGAUUUAUCGGUGCAGGAUGGGCCCGCGGCCUAUCAGCUUGUUGGUGGGGUAAUGGCCUACCAAGGCGACGACGGGUAGCCGACCUGAGAGGGUGACCGGCCACACUGGGACUGAGACACGGCCCAGACUCCUACGGGAGGCAGCAGUGGGGAAUAUUGCACAAUGGGCGAAAGCCUGAUGCAGCGACGCCGCGUGAGGGAUGACGGCCUUCGGGUUGUAAACCUCUUUCAGCAGGGACGAAGCGCAAGUGACGGUACCUGCAGAAGAAGCACCGGCUAACUACGUGCCAGCAGCCGCGGUAAUACGUAGGGUGCAAGCGUUGUCCGGAAUUACUGGGCGUAAAGAGUUCGUAGGCGGUUUGUCGCGUCGUUUGUGAAAACCAGCAGCUCAACUGCUGGCUUGCAGGCGAUACGGGCAGACUUGAGUACUGCAGGGGAGACUGGAAUUCCUGGUGUAGCGGUGAAAUGCGCAGAUAUCAGGAGGAACACCGGUGGCGAAGGCGGGUCUCUGGGCAGUAACUGACGCUGAG